rnacentral:lncRNA from 1 species
CACUGUAACUUAGUUACCACCGGAUAUUUUCUUUGUAAGCACAUAUUUAUGGAUGCCAUCAUAGUCAAUAGAACUGAUGUUUAUAAGAUACGGUAAAUUUAAAACGAGGGUGUUAUGCGCUCGUACUUCAACUGCAUUAGGUGACGAAAUAGAUGGUAUCAUAUUUCAGGUUGGAAAACUUGAAAUGAGGUGACUUGAAUAGUUCAAU